UACAGAGGUGGCAAGCGUUGUUCGGAAUUACUGAGCGUAAAGGGCGCGUAGGCGGCCUUCUAAGUCAGACGUGAAAUCCCCCGGCUUAACCUGGGAACUGCGUCUGAUACUGGAGGGCUUGAGUGCGGGAGAGGGAUGUGGAAUUCCUGGUGUAGCGGUGAAAUGCGCAGAUAUCAGGAGGAACACCAAUGGCGAAGGCAGCUCGCUGGAACGGAACUGACGCUGAGGCGCGAAAGCGUGGGGAGCGAACAGG
rnacentral:rRNA from 1 species